rnacentral:snoRNA from 1 species
AUUCCAUGAUGGGGACAUUCUAGGAUGUAGUCUUGAAAGCGCUCCCAUGCUUCUAGAACGGAUUCGUCACUUUGUUGCUAAAAACUUGUAAUCUUCCCACGGAGAGC